AUUGACUAAGGUUUCCAGAGGAAGGCUCGUCCGCUCUGGGUUAGUCGGGUCCUAAGCUGAGGCCGACAGGCGUAGGCGAUGGAUAACAGGUUGAUAUUCCUGUACCACCUAUAAUCGUUUUAAUCGAUGGGGGGACGCAGUAGGAUAGGCGAAGCGUGCGAUUGGAUUGCACGUCUAAGCAGUAAGGCUGAGUAUUAGGCAAAUCCGGUACUCGUUAAGGCUGAGCUGUGAUGGGGAGAAGACAUUGUGUCUUCGAGUCGUUGAUUUCACACUGCCGAGAAAAGCCUCUAGAUAGAAAAUAGGUGCCCGUACCGCAAACCGACACAGGUAGUCAAGAUGAGAAUUCUAAGGUGAGCGAGCGAACUCUCGUUAAGGAACUCGGCAAAAUGACCCCGUAACUUCGGGAGAAGGGGUGCUCUUUAGGGUUAACGCCCAGAAGAGCCGCAGUGAAUAGGCCCAAGCGACUGUUUAUCAAAAACACAGGUCUCUGCUAAACCGUAAGGUGAUGUAUAGGGGCUGACGCCUGCCCGGUGCUGGAAGGUUAAGAGGAGUGGUUAGCUUCUGCGAAGCUACGAAUCGAAGCCCCAGUAAACGGCGGCCGUAACUAUAACGGUCCUAAGGUAGCGAAAUUCCUUGUCGGGUAAGUUCCGACCCGCACGAAAGGCGUAACGAUUUGGGCACU
rnacentral:rRNA from 1 species